CCUACGGGUGGCAGCAGUGGGGAAUAUUGCACAAUGGGGGGAACCCUGAUGCAGCGACGCCGCGUGGGUGAAGGAGUAUUUCGGUAUGUAAAGCCCUAUCAGCAGGGAAGAACAAUGACGGUACCUGACUCAGAAGCACCGGCUAAAUACGUGCCAGCAGCCGCGGUAAUACGUAUGGUGCAAGCGUUAUCCGGAUUUACUGGGUGUAAAGGGAGCGCAGGCGGCGCGUUAAGCCUGGUGUGAAAGCCCGGGGCCCAACCGCGGGACUGCAUUGGGAACUGGCGCGCUGGAGUGCCGGAGGGGUAGGCGGAAUUACUAGUGUAGCGGUGAAAUGCGUAGAUAUUAGGAGGAACACCAGUGGCGAAGGCGGCCUACUGGACGGUGACUGACGCUGAGGCUCGAAAGCGUGGGGAGCAAACAGGAUUAGAUACCCUUGUAGUC
rnacentral:rRNA from 1 species